ACUCUUUUCCACACAGCGCCGGAAUGUAUGUGUCGUUCCUCUGCAUUUUGUGUCCUUGGAGCCGUAUCUUCGCGGUACCUCCUAGAGCUUCGCCAGCAGAGCACGGUGUCAAACUUCUGAAUUUUUGCCAGUCGGAUGGAGGAGAAAUGGCACCUCAGCCUGGCCUCCCUCAGCAUCUCUCUUAUACGAGCAAAGUUAAUGCCUUCUCAUGUAUCCAAGGGCCAUUUUUGCAACCUUUUGGGGAAACUGUUUUUCUUGCCCUUUGCUCAUUUUUCUCCAUGAUUUUUGCGCUUUUGUUUCUUGACUUUUAAAAAGUUCCUUGUAUAUGAAAGCCAUUCACCUUUUAUCAGUGAAAGCACGGGCUCAUCAAGAAGCUCUGGUUUUCUCCUGCCCGGACCCUCCCACGGAGCCUGCGGCCAGGAGGAAGUCAGCAGGAAGCAUGUUGGCACAGCCUCGGUGGAAGCGAAAGACCACACGCUGGAAUCCCAAAGCUUCAACUAUUCAUCAGCUGCCCAGUGCGCCAGUGGCGGUUCGGAGUGGCUGUUAGCCUGGCAUUGACGCUAAACCUGGAGCAACAAGGACCGAAAUUCAGCCCAAACGACUGUUGGCACCUCCACCUCUGAGGUCUCGUGGAAAUUGGAUGAUCAAUUUUUAAGUGGCUUUAAUGAAAUAUUACUUCCUUCUCCUUUGAAAUCGAUUUCACCAAAGCCAAAGCUUUAGAUCAGGUGAAAUCGCUCUUGGAAUAUGCCAGAGACAGGAUCCACCAACAGGCAGGUCUUCUCCGCCACUGACUGCCAGGAAGUGUCAAAGAACUGGGAGCCAGAGAUGGUUCUAUGGUCUCGGGAGGGAGCAGGGCCCAUGCUUCCCUCACCAGUCCCUGACUCAGGGGGUGGCAGUGAGUGUCAGGGAGUGACUGGCAGCGUCCCGACAGAGUGAAAGAAUGAGCGAAUGAAUACGCACGAAGCCAGCCUGUUAGGCUCCGUCACGGAAAUGCUUGCUUUGCCUC
rnacentral:lncRNA from 1 species